rnacentral:rRNA from 1 species
AGAGUUUGAUCAUGGCUCAGGAUGAACGCUAGCUACAGGCUUAACACAUGCAAGUCGAGGGGAAACGAUAUUGGAAGCUUGCUUCCGAUAGGCGUCGACCGGCGUACGGGUGAGUAACGCGUAUCCAACCUGCCCACCACUUGGGGAUAACCUUGCGAAAGUAAGACUAAUACCCAAUGACGUCUCUAGAAGACAUCUGAAAGAGAUUAAAGAUUUAUCGGUGAUGGAUGGGGAUGCGUCUGAUUAGCUUGUUGGCGGGGUAACGGCCCACCAAGGCAACGAUCAGUAGGGGUUCUGAGAGGAAGGUCCCCCACAUUGGAACUGAGACACGGUCCAACUACCUACGGAGGGCAGCA